GUAACGCAAUGCAUUGUGGGUCUUUGUUUUGAUUUUGAAGGAGCUCCUCUCGAGUUAUUUUAGUUGGAAAAACAUUUUUUUCUGAAAUUAUGGAACCGACGUUGAAUUGUGGCAAUUAUCUACCCAUGAGUCUGUGGCAAUGUCAGCUGGGGAUGCGUGAAGGUGUUGAAUAAACUGGUACAGCAGCCUCGUGUAUUACUUCCCUUGAGGACUGAUUCUACACCCCAAGACACUUGAUGAUACAAUUCAACACCUUGCAUUUCAAGAUGGAGGAGCUAAUCAAGGUUGAAUAAACUGGUACAGCAGCCUCGUAUAUCACUUCCCAUGAGGACUGAUUCUACACCCCAAGACACUUGAUGAUACAAUUCAACACGUUACAUUUCAAGAUGGAGGAGCUAAUCAAG